rnacentral:lncRNA from 10 species
CUAGGGAUCAUAGUGCUGUGCUAUCUGUUGUCCAGCAUCUGACACAGUUGGUUUUAUAUUUUGUCUGGUUUUCUAGUUAUUAAGCAGGUUAAGUCUGGUUCCUGCUGUUCUAUAUAGCAGGAAGCAAAGGUUCUCUCAUGAAUUUUUAGCAUAAUAACAUAAGCGUGGAUUCCAAAAAUUCAUUACACAGAUCCUGGAAAUCUGUUUACUAUGUUUUAUACAUUCUGUGAAAGCUGGAGAAUAUAUAUUUGUUUUACUAUGUGUAUCGCAAAUAAAAUAUCAAUUUCAUGUGCCAGAGAAUUGAAUACAUUAUCAAAGGGUCAUUUCAUAACGUUAUAAUCACCAUCCAUCCUGUAAGUCCUUUGAAAUUUCUUCUUUUCUAUGGAUCUAACAUUGAUCAAUAACGAAUUCCUAAGCAUCUAUAUUAGUUAGCCCAGUGUUUCUCAAAGUCCACCGCAUGUAAAAAUCAUCUAGGGAAUCUUUCUAAAAUGUGGAUUCUGAUUUAGUAGGUCUGGGGUGAGGUCUUCCCUUUUGCAAUUCCAGCAAGUUCCCAUGGGAUGCUGGUACUGGUUAAUGGAAGUCACUUAGAGUAGCAAGGAGCCUGUUUGCCUAGUAUUUACAAUGAGCACGUUUUGGGUAUCAUCAAAACAAGAGAAUCUAAAAAUGUAUGGUGUGGGUGGAAGGUUGUGUUACUUGAUAUUUCAAAAAGAUCAUUGAAAUCAGAAAAUCUCAGAGAUAUGUUGGAUUUCAUCACAUUUAUUCUAUGGCUUAAUGUUGUUUUAUUUUGAAUAUAUAAUAAGAGAGAUACCACAAAUCUUUAGCUAUUAAUAUUUAGGGAUGUUAAUGUCCUUAAUUCAUAUUGUCUCAAAUGUGAUUCAUUCCCUCUAUAGGUAUACUAAAACAGGCAUUCAUGCCUACAAAACCAUCUUCCUAACUUUCUUUCCUCUUUUUAGUCUCUUCCUGAACCAGUGACAGUGGUUCUCAAACAUUUUGGUCUGAGGACCCCUUUAUGGCCUUAAAAAUGAUCGAAGAGCUUUUAUUUAUGAAGGUAAUACCUGCUAAUACUUGUUGUAAUCUAUUAACAUUGAGAAAUGUAAAAAUUUUUAUUAAUUCACUUAAAAUAUCAAUAAACCCAUUAUUUGCUAAUAUAAAUUGCACUUUUUAAUGAAAAAUAACUUUAGUUUCUACUGUGUGCUUCUGCAUUUUGAAAAUAUGUCUAGGAUACGGUAUGUAUUUAGGAGAUAUUUUCUAAAUAAAUGCAUAUUCAUUUUUUAAAAUGGGACAAAUGUAGCAUAGACAUAUUUUUGCUAACAAUAUCCAUAUAGUUGCAAAUUUCACUUUUAGAAUUUGCUUUCAAAAACAGGUUGUUUAUUCUUCUUUGUUAUGCCUUAGUUAGUAAAUCAUAUAUUAUAAAACUUCUUCAAUGCAAUUGGUCUUUGGUCAGCCAUUGACAUAGGAAGAGUUAGAAAGAGUCCAGGGCUCCUUGGUACUGGCUGUGACUGGAUAAGUAGGUUGUGGCUUAGUUUGUGUUUAGGUGUCAUAACUAGGCUAGGUUUGGGUCCCAGAAAGUGCUAGCCUUACUGUAGGAGAGGAAGUGGUAUUGCUGGGUGUGUCCUCAGGUCAGGAAGUGGGACGAGUGCAGUAUGGAAGCCCAGGGGGGUCCUUGUGACUGGAGGAAAGGUGAGGUUUCCAGUAAAGGAUUCAGAAUUCGGGCAUGGUGCAGCAUGCCUAUAGCCCCAGCUACUCAGGAGGCUGAAGUGGGAGGAUCACUUGAGACCAGGAGUUCAAGGUUGCAGUGAGCUGUCAUUGCGCCACUGCACCCCAGCCUGGGUGACAGAGUGAGACCUGUCUCAAAAAUAAAUACAUAAAAAUAAUAAUUAAAAAAAAAGGAUUCAGAAUUCUAGAAUACAUAUUAUCUUUCUAUCAUGCAGAUCUGUUCUUAGGAUUGUAUUUUCCAAAUCAUGAAUAAAAUAAUUUCCAAAAUACUUAUUGGGAAAUUAUAUAUAUGUACUGUAUUACUUGGAAUAAAAAUCAAAUAAAAGUCAAACUUCUUAAUGUGGCUGUAAAGCCUUGAUUAUUUAAACCUUGCCUAUUUUUCAGUUUAAUCUUUCAGCCACACUGGCCCUUGUGUUAAUCCUAAAACAUGCCAUGCUUUUUCCUACAUUAAAGCUUAGGGUUUUUGAUAUUUCUACUGCCUGGAUUUCUCUGUUCUCACUCUUCCUCUUGAUCACCAUGACUUAUUUUUCAAGUGUUGGCUUAAAUGUCCGUCUCACAGAUAGCCCUUAUCUAAAUAACAGCUUUCCCUCUGGUUCCUAGAUAAAUUAGGACCUGUUUUUUUCUAUAACUUUCUUAAAGUAUCCUAUUAUUUUCCCUGAUAAAACCUUGUUGGACUGUUUUUCCAUGUUGGUCAGGCUGGUCGCAAACUCCCGACCUCAGGUGAUCCGCCUGUCUUGGCCUCCCAAGGUGCUGAGAUUACAGGCGUGAACCACCGCACCCGGCCUGUUUGUUUGUUUUCUUAUUAGACUAUAAACUAUAUGAGAUCAGACCAUGUCUCUUUUGUUUAUCACUCUGGCCUACCUGCUAACACAGUGCUUACACAUAAUAGUAGGUGCUCAAGAAAUACAGUGUUUGAUGGAUGAACGUAAAAUUGUAAGAGCCUGAACUAGUGUAAUAUCGAAAAUAGGGAGGAAGACAUGAAUUAGGAAAGCCUUUGAAAAAUUAGCAUGUUCUGUGAUAAAGCUACAUCUAGGCAAUAUUUUUUGAUACUUUUAAAAAAAAAACUGUAAUAGCUACCCAAUAUUUAGGAAUGAUACACAUCACACAUCUCAGUGAGGUAUGUAGCCUUUUGUACUGGUGAAGAGAGCCAGGUGAAGUCUAACUCUAAGGAUCUAAACACUCCAUUCUAGUAGAGAGCCUGGAGAAGUGCUCUUGCAUAAGCUCAUCCAUGUAAGACCAUCCAUAACUUAGUGAAAUAAUUUUCAUUGCUGUUUAGUUGCAAAAAUCACUCACUGUUUUGCCUCCAUAAGAUUAUCGGUUUUAGUGUUUAAUCGUUCACAGCCUUGUCAAAACCAAAAUGGCUAGGGAGAGAACUAUUUCCCUACAUUAAAACUUCGAGCAAUGCUCUUCAUAGAUUUUGUUUUGAAUUGUUUAGGCCCAUCUCAGAGUUCAAGACACUUAGUCUCUUCUAAGAGAAAUCAUGGUCACAACAAACAGAGAUUAAAUAAAGAGCAAGAAAUUAGAAGAAACUCAAACCAUUCACUUAGAUUAUUUGUUAGAUUUUGGCCUUAAAAAGAGACAAAGUUGCUUGAAACAAGUGAUUAAACUGACAUUUUUAGAUUAUUAUUUUAUUCAUACCUUUAUUGUGAAUAAAUUGGCCACAUGAUAACAUUUUAUAAUGUUAAAUAAAUAUGAUAUAUAUAAAUCUGUAUACCACAACAAUUAAAUUGGAGGGCGAUUUGCCAUUUAAAUAAUUUAUCAUAGGAUUUUUAUAAGAUCAAGCGCUUAGUGCAUAUCAAAGAGACAGAAAGUUUUCAUUGCAGUUCUGCACGUUCACUGAGUACCUUUUAUGUACCAGUUGCAUUGUUCUAGAAUCUUAUCUAUCAUGUAAAGCUAGGUACACCUGAAAUAGUUUAGUUAUGGUGGCAAAGUUAGACUGCAGUUAUUGGCUGGGAAUUUUUUGUAUAUCUAUGUACAUCUUCCAUAAGAGGGCAGCAAAGGACCAGCAUGAUUUUUUCCUUAUCAUGAAGUCAUAGCAGAGAUUGCCUCAUAUUGCAAACUUAAUAGAAAUCUUCUCAGAGUAAGGGCAAACAGAGGGCAUGGUUACAAGUUUACUUACUGUCUAGCCUGUCUUUUAUAUGGUCUGAUAUGGCUUUUUAGUACAUAGAUUAUCUCACAUCACAGUGAUAGCCUAGUGAUUAAAUGUUGAUCCUGGGGUCAGUUGUCAGGCUUUAAAUCCUGGAACCAUAACUUAACUAGCUUCGUGGUCUAGAAAGACUACUCAGUCUUUCUGAGCCUCAGUUUCUUCCUCAAUUUUUUAUAAAAAGGAGGGCAAGGGAUAGUAACAAUGCCACUUCACAUGGUUUUAAUAAACAAAAUAAAAUUUGUGUCCUGAAGAGGCUAAGAACAGUUAAAAGGUGGAGCUAGAAAAACCACCCUAUACUAGCCUUAGGUGUAUUGUAUUUAUUUAAGUUAAACUCUUAUUAAAAAGAGUCUCAUAAAGGAAAAUAUAGGUCAUUACUUUCUGUAACUACUUAGUAUUUUUAGUUAACUAACAUAUAUAUCUAUGUACUGACCAAUUAUUUGCUCGUACAAUUUAUCAAACCAAUUAAAUAUACACUGUUAAAUUUAUUUCCCUGUCCCCCGAGACAGAUCCUGGCUACGUUGCCCAGGCUGGAGUGCAGUGGCGCGAUUUUGGCUCACUGCAACCUCUGCCUCCCAGGUUCAGGCAAUUCUCCUGCCUCAGCCUCCUGAGUAGCUGGGAUUACAGAGGCCUGCCACCAUGCCUGGCUAAUUUUUGUAUUUUUAGUAGAGAUGGGAUUUCACCAUGUUGGCCAGGGUGGUCUCAAACUCCUGACCUCAGGUGAUCCAGCCGCCUCGGCCUCCCAGAGUGUUGGGAUUACAAGCAUGAGCCAGCACGCCUGGCCUGAAAAUACAUUUUGAUGAACAAAAAAUUUUUAAUUUUUUUUUUUUUUUUUUUCCUGAGACAGAGCUUUGCUCUGUCACCCAGGCUGGAGUGCAAUGGCGUGAUCUUGCCUCACUGCAACCUAUGCCUCCUGGGUUCAAGCAAUUCUCCUGCCUCAGCCUCCCGAGUAGCUAGGAUUACAGGCAUGGGCCACCAUGCCCGGCUAAUUUUUUGUAUUUUUAGUAGAGACGGGAUUUCACCAUGUUUGCCAGGCUGGUCUCAAACUCCUGACCUUGUGAUCCGCCCCCGUGGCCUCCCAAAGUGCUGAGAUUGCGGGCGUGAGCCACCACUCCCAGCCAAAAAUUUUUUAAUUUUAAAAGUCAAUGUAUAUCAUUUGUAUUUUAUAGUUAGUGCUUUUUUUGUAUUGUUUAAAUUUUUAAAAUUCUUCCAUUAAUCUAAAAUAUUUUCAUGUGUGCUUUCUACUAAGAGAAUUUAAGUUUUGUUUUUGACAUUAUAGUUUUUAAUACAUUUGGAUUUGGAUCUUAUAUCUUGUAUGAUACAGAACUCUAAUUUUCGCCUUUAACUACAUGCAUAAUCAUUUUUUCCACCUCCACUUAUUGAAUAGUUCCUAAUUUUCCCAUCAAUAUCAUGUGUUUCUUCUGGCAUAGCCAAAGUCCCAUAAAUGUGUGGGUCUGUUGUAGUUUCCUAUUUAAUUCAGUUAAUUUGUCCAAUUUGUUUUAUUAUGCCUUAAUUACCACAGCUUCACAGUAAGUCUUUAUGUCUGAUAGGGCAGCUUCCUCUAGUGUCUUCAGAAAUUUCCUGACUUUAAAAAAAAUCCUUAUUGUUCAUGCUUUUUUAAAGAAUUAGCUUUACAUGAUGCAAGAAAAAGAUCUGUUGGAAUUUUGAUUGUAAUUUUGUUAAAUCUAUAGGUCAACUAAUUACAAUAUUGAAUCUUCUUAUGCACAAACAUGGUAUAUUUCUCCAUUUAUUCAGGUCUUUAUUUAAUGUCUCCUAAUGUCUUUUUGUAGUUUUUACUUAGAGAUCUUACAUAUUUGUUAUUAUAUUUACUCCUAGGUACUUGGUAUUCUCUAAGAUUAUUGAAAAUGCUGUCUUCUUUUUAAUUACAUUUUCAGGUAUUUGUCAUUGG